ensembl:lncRNA
GGUCUGUAUUCGGGGGUGGUCGGGGCAGUAGAGCUGAUCAUCUCAACUCACUCUGGACACGCUCGGGAAGUAUGCAGGAGGUAGACAUCCUAAGACUGAGCUCAUCGUGGCAAUCCCAUUCUCCUCGUAGGCGGCUGGUUCAAGGGAGGGCAUAUAUCCCUAUUCUGGCCAAUGGGACUUGAGAAGAUGUCCUUGGGGCAACUUCUGCACCAUGAUCAGCAGCCCCUGUUCUGUCCACACAAUUCGUCAGUGGUUGCUACAGCCAUCUUGCAGCCAGUCUCAGGAUGAAACCAACACAUGAAGCCAUGAAAAUCACAGAAAUGAGCUGACGCCCUGAUGGGCCUAGAGCUGCCCUCCUUGGGUGCUUCUUACGUGAAAUAUUAAGCCCCUUAUUAUUUGUAUCAAUGCCAGUUAGGAUUUUCUACCACUUGCAGCUGAAGACAUCCUAAGGUCUAUACUUGUAAGUGGAUUCUAAGUGCAGCUCUUUCUGUUUCAGAUUCAACGAGGUCACCACUAUACCAGAUGUCCGCUUCUCUGACCCACCACAGGAAGAUCACUAUGCGGGACUUGUAAAAGAGAUUUCCAAAACUCAGUUUUGUAACUUUUGGCCACGUGUCUAUUCAAGAGUAUCAAAGCGUUGAGGCAGUUAUCCAGGAGGUCUGAAAUGACAGAAGGUGUUUGGAGAGCGUGCUUAGCACUCUGUGACUUCCACUCACACUUGCCUUCUCCCUCUCCCUCACUUCCAGCCCAGGGAGGGGAGCUUUAAUGGGAUCCUCAAGGAGCUGGACAUUUAAUUCACAGAGCCGAAGGGGCUUGGUGGACUGAUGUUUGAUUCAUGCCUAAAAAUUCUAAAGGGUAUGAGAACGUGAUUGUGGAUGGCCUGGACUCAUGGACAGAGUUCCACAGAGCAGCAUUUGCAGGUGGCCCAGAGGUGCUGUUGGCCACCUGUGGCAUGUUCAGAGGUAUGAUGGGGAGAUGACACCAGGUGACCAGGAUUCAAAAGGGCUUGCUGAGGUGGUGGAGGCCCAGCAUUCGACAAGGAAAGAGGUGAGGAAAAAAACAGAAAAAUGAGUGGUCAUAAAGCUUCUCAAAUACUACCAUUUUACAUAAGACAAUUUUGGAAACAUCUGAAGUUUGGCAGCAAUUCCAGGAGAAUUUGGCUCUGCAAAUCCCAGUAGCUAAUUGUACUAGUUUGCCAGGGCCACAGACUGGGGGCAUUAAACAAGACUGUAUUUAUUCACCAUUCUGGAGGCUGGAAGUCCGAGAUCCAGGUGCUGAUAGGGUUGGUUCCACCCGGGGCCACUCUCCUUAGCAGUAGAUGCCGUCUUCUCCCUGUGUCCCCACCUGGUCCUCCCUCUGUGUGUCUCUGUGUCCUCAUUUCCUUUUCUGAUAAGGACACCAGUCAGAUUAGAUUAAGUCCCAUCCUAAUGGCCUCAUUUUCACUUAAUUACCUCUUUUAAGAGUCAAAUUCGGAGGCACUGAAGGUUAGGAUUUCAGCAUACGAAUUUUGGGGGGGCAUAAUUCAGCCAAUUGCACUAGUGACCAUCUCAGGGGUCUGUAGAGCCAGCUGGUUCCCUACAGCCAGUGCUCCCCAUCUCCAUUACAGGAGCCGCUGCAGGUAGCCCCAGGUCAUGGUGGCUGCCACGGACCACUGCCUUCAGCACCCUCCCUCCCUCCUCUGUCUCUACUGUCAUCCCCCACAGUGACACACACAUUACCCUUGUGGAUCCUAAAUGUGAAUCGACUGCUCCUCAUUCAUCCUGGGUGUACCCGACAUCUUCGAAUCAUCUCAGGGCCACUCCUAUUUGUUGCCUCGAUCAUUGGCUACUUGAACUUAAAGAGGUCAAAUAAACAGAGUUCAAAGCCAUGGUGCAUGUAAUAAUGUUCGGAAUUCAGGAUGUAGACAGGGAACCUCCCUGAAUGUUGUCACAAUUCUUUUGGUCCUAUAGUAAGGCAUGCCCCACAUUAGAACAUACAGCUCAGAGGAGGUUUCUCCCUGGGGACAGCUAUGCCCCUAGGGAAACGUCCGGUUCACAGUGAGUCACCGCUGAGAGAGCGUCAGCUCAUGUUUUCGGUAAUUUUCGAAUAAAAUGGUAUCUCUAUUAAAUACACGUAUAGAAAGGUAAAAAUAGAUUGAGCAUUUUCUAAGUAGCUCUGGCCCAAGGUAAAGUGGUGAAGGAGUUGUUAGUUCUCUCGGAGCAAAAUAAAGCUGCUCUUCCUUCAUCCCCAGCCACACUUCAACUUCAUCCUAGGACAAACAAGAAAUGCCCCAUAGAAAGAAAAUGAAAACGCUGUUCUUGACUGGACUGCUUCAGAAAUAUGCUUGGAUUGAGAGUUCCAGCUUUUCUGGGAUUCAUUCUUACAGAGUCUAGC